rnacentral:rRNA from 1 species
CCAUCGCUCAACGGAUAAAAGGUACUCCGGGGAUAACAGGCUGAUACCGCCCAAGAGUUCAUAUCGACGGCGGUGUUUGGCACCUCGAUGUCGGCUCAUCACAUCCUGGGGCUGAAGUAGGUCCCAAGGGUAUGGCUGUUCGCCAUUUAAAGUGGUACGCGAGCUGGGUUUAGAACGUCGUGAGACAGUUCGGUCCCUAUCUGCCGUGGGCGCUGGAGAACUGAGGGGGGCUGCUCCUAGUACGAGAGGACCGGAGUGGACGCAUCACUGGUGUUCGGGUUGUCAUGCCAAUGGCACUGCCCGGUAGCUAAAUGCGGAAGAGAUAAGUGCUGAAAGCAUCUAAGCACGAAACUUGCCCCGAGAUGAGUUCUCCCUGACCCUUUAAGGUCCUGAAGGAACGUUGAAGACGACGACGUUGAUAGGCCGGGUGUGUAAGCGCAGCGAUGCGUUGAGCUAACCGGUACUAAUGAACCGUGAGGCUUAACCUU